AGAGGAUAGGUAUGUAAUUCAUCGUUUUCUUGUAACAUAGGACAGGUAGCUCUUGCCUUGCCUUUCAAUUUACAAAACUCGCUACUUUGACUAUCAACUUUUUUCAUUUUUGGCAGAUAAUCUGUCAUUGUUCUUGGUUGACAUCACUUUGUAGCAGAAUUUGUAUAAACUAAUCUGACAGAGAGUAACUUGUUUGGAGCUGGAGCCAUUUCAUAGUUUUCUACUGUCCCUGUUUUCCAAUAGGCUGCAUAUAAUUUGGUAAAUAUUAGUGGUUGCAAGAAUGAAAUGACCAUUUCUAGUUUGUCUGGUAAUGCAUUAAGAUAGACUUAAUGAAAUAAAACUUGAAAUUUCAGUUAGUUGAAUGUUACUUUCAAAACUAAACCACCGGUGACCACACUACUGAUCCUUAAUUUUUGGUU